UACGUAGGGUCCGAGCGUUGUCCUGAGUUACUGGGCGUAAAGCGCGCGCAGGUGGUUCCCUAAGCCCGGCGUGAAAGCCCCCGGCUCAACCGGGGAGGGUCGUCGGGGACUGGAGAACUUGAGGGCGGCAGGGGCUGGUGGAAUCCCCGGUGUAGUGGUGAAAUGCGUAGAGAUCGGGGGGAACACCCGUGGCGAAGGCGGCCAGCUGGGCCGACCCUGACACUGAGGCGCGAAGGCGUGGGGAGCGAACGGG
rnacentral:rRNA from 1 species